GACAGAGGGGGCAAGCGUUGCUCGGAAUCACUGGGCGUAAAGGGCGCGUAGGCGGGAUGGCAAGUCGGUCGUGAAAUCCUUCGGCUCAACCGAAGAACGUCGGCCGAUACUGCCGUUCUUGAGGGAUGCAGAGGAGAUUGGAAUUCCCGGUGUAGCGGUGAAAUGUGUAGAGAUCGGGAGGAACACCGGUGGCGAAGGCGGCAUCCUGGACCGACAUUGACGCUGAGGCGCGAAAGCUAGGGGAGCGAACGGG
rnacentral:rRNA from 1 species